CCUACGGGUAGCAGCAGUGAGGAAUAUUGGUCAAUGGACGCUAGCCUGAACCAGCCAAGUAGCGUGAAGGAUGACUGCCCUAUGGGUUGUAAACUUCUUUUAUAUGGGAAUAAAGUGCAGUAUGUAUACUGCUUUGCAUGUACCUUAUGAAUAAGGAUCGGCUAACUCCGUGCCAGCAGCCGCGGUAAUACGGAGGAUCCGAGCGUUAUCCGGGUUUAUUGGGUUUAAAGGGAGCGUAGGCGGAUUGUUAAGUCAGUUGUGAAAGUUUGCGGCUCAACCGUAAAAUUGCAGUUGAUACUGGCAGCCUUGAGUACAGUAGAGGUGGGCGGAAUUCGUGGUGUAGCGGUGAAAUGCUUAGAUAUCACGAAGAACUCCGAUUGCGAAGGCAGCCUGCUGGACUGUAACUGACGCUGAUGCUCGAAAGUGUGGGUAUCAAACAGGAUUAGAUACCCCAGUAGUC
rnacentral:rRNA from 1 species